rnacentral:tRNA from 1 species
GGAGAUUUAACCGCCAUGGUGGCGGGACCGCCUUGAAAGCGGCGCGGCCCCUCACGGGGCAGGGGUUCGAUUCCUCAAAUCUCCG